GCCAAUGCUCAGUUGGUAGAACAUGAGACUCUUAAUCUCAUCAUGGGUUUGAGCCCCAUAUUGUGCA